GAGACAGAUCCGAGCAAAACAGUGCAUGAACAAGACAAAACAAUUAAGAGAGGCGUAGCAUCUUAGACAAUAGUUCCUGAUAACAGCGUACAAUUUGUAAUCAAUUACCUGACGAUCCAUUGGUGUGAGCAUGGAACAAGAGACUUAAUGUUUGGCCAGUCAAAGCAUACCAAGAGUUGGUCGCGGACAGCCAUACAUCUCCAAGCCCAGAGGCAAGUAGCGCUCCUCCAGCCCUAAGACGUCAUCGCCUUGUCCAGCCAGUAGUGAAACCCAAAAAGGAGAUGAGGAACCACCUCGGAAGCCCCAAAGUGCCAGACUCUCUGCGAUAAAGGGGGGGGGGAAGGCAUAGCAGGCAUCCACUGAGACCAGGAAAAACCCCGGCU